CCGCCCGUCACACCAUGGAAGUGUAUUGCACCAGAAGCAGGUAGCCUGACCGCAAGGAGGGCGCCUACCACGGUGUGGUCCAUGACGUGGGGUGAAGUCGUAACAACGGUACC
rnacentral:rRNA from 1 species